AGAGGCGGGGUUAGUAGGAGUAGUUGGAGUAGUAUGCCAUUUCGGACACAGCCGUGGUUUGAUCUCGAACGGUUUCACUUUCUACGCCUCUCUUGUGUGACGCAGUUUUUUUUCACCGACCUGCAGGUAUUGUAACUUCGUCUUUCAUUGACUUGAACUAAUUUAAUCACCCAACCUAACUCCUAGUCUUCGUUUUUUGUUAUUAUUGUUUAGGUUAUGUCAAGAAAGUGGGGACAGUUGUUGGCGUCAUGAACUUGCUGGCUUCCUAUUGUCCUGUUUACGUCUUGGAAAAGUUAAUUUACUUGCAUAAAUAAACGACCGAAACUUCGAGAAUGAGUUUUUCCCCCAUCAUUUUCACUGCUAUGAUAUCGUGAUGCUUUAUUUGUCUACUAUAUUGGUUGUUUUACCGAAUAAGAUUUAAACAAAUACUUUUGUUUCAUGUCUUUUAAAGUCCAAAGAUGACAACGGUGUUGGUUUUGGGCCUUGCUGCUACGCCCAAUUGUGAUCGUCCGUGGAGAAAUAUUGUCUUAAACUGUUGGGCUAUUUGCUCGUGCAGUUGUGCACAAAGUGGUGAACCCCUGAGCUUUUCGGGCAUGCUCAUGAAACUUACUUGUUCGCCUGUGGAAUGAUCCAAGCAGGUGUUUUUGGAGCAGUCCUCCAUGUCCUCGGUCUUUUAUUGACUCUGUCUCAGCUUUCUUCGAAUGUGUUGCAGCAUCAAGUUUACAAUUCUGCAUUUAGGAUGAAUAUUUCAAAUGUAGAUGUAUCCAAAUUUUCUUGCUCUAUCUGAACAAUUAUAUCUGUGAACAACAACUUUGUGAGACAGAAAUUACAGCGGUAAUAAAAGUAGAUAAGAAAGGUAAAUUCCAACUGUAUACAGAGUUUUCUAGAUAAGCUUAGUCUCCCCUCCUUAUCAGAAGAAGAUAAAUCCGCUCUUGGAAAACCAAUAACUAAGGAAGAGAUUAAAAAUGCAAUCAAUUCCCUGCAGAAUGGAAAGGCCCCGGGGCCAGAUGGCUAUGGUCCAGAGUUUUAUAAAAAAAUAGUAAACUUAAUAGAUGGACCUCUGCUAAGGAUGUUCCUUCACUCAAUAGAGAAGGGCUCCCUACCAUGCUCGUUGUAUGCUGCCAAUAUAUCUUUAAUCCUUAAAAAGGGAAAACCCCCUGACGAGUGCGGCUCAUACCGGCCUAUUAGCCUGAUGAAUGUGGACAGUAAAAUAUUUUCUAAAAUAUUAGCGAAGAGACUCGAGAACUACUUGCCACUUCUAAUUGGAUCUGACCAGACGGGCUUUAUUAAAGGCAGGAACUCUUAUACCAAUAUGAGAAAAUUACUUAACAUCAUGCAGUAUGCAAAUACUAAUCAGGUACCGGGUCUUGUUAUCUCACUUGACGCCGAAAAGGCAUUUGAUCGCGUGGAAUGGCCCUAUUUAUUCACGAUCAUGGAAAAAUUUGGACUUGGGGAGGGGUUUAUUAAACUUACUAAGUUGAUAUAUUUCUCACCCAGAGCGAGUGUUCUUGAUUGCAUCAUAAGAUCAUAAGAUUGCAUUAUAUGCGGAUGAUGUUCUUCUUUUUCUCACUAACCCCGAGGUGUCUAUACCAGCUUUAAUGUCAGUCAUCCAGACCUUUGGAUCCUUCUCUGGAUACAAGAUUAAUUUUAAUAAAUCAAUGGCCAUGCCAAUUGGACAUGGUAAUAAUAUACCAAACAUACCAAACUUUCCAUUCUCUUGGGACAGAGAAUGGAAAGUGGGACAGAGGACCCACUUGAAUCCUGGGCAUGUGUCCCAUUUAGACUAUUAGGGGAACUCACUUGCAAAAAAUCUGCUCUUCCCCAAGUAAGGAACAACCCAUUACUUCAUAGCUCUAUUAAAAUAUGGCAUGACAUGCAUAGGUUUGUGGGCAGGAGGGGUGCCUUUUCUUACUUGACCCCACUCAUGGGCAACAGGGACUUCCUACCUGGUGUUGAAAAUGCUGUGUUCGGCUCUUGGCGGGAAAAGGGCGUGAGAGUGGUUGGAGAUUUGUUUGAUGAUAACAAUGUCCUCAUGUCCUUUUCACAAGCACAAAAUAGAUUUGGUCUUCCACAAAAAGAUUUUUUUGCAUAUCUUCAAGCCCGUCACUUCAUCAAUACGAAUCUUAAAGUAUCUCAAACAGAAACACUGAAGGGACCAAUUGACAAGUUCAUAAUUAAUUUUACAGUGAAGAAAGGUCUUAUCACAUACUUUUAUAAUAGCCUUCAGAGUUGUAACCAACAUAGUGUUGAGGGGCUGGUUAAGCGAUGGGAGGAGGACCUUCAAAGGGUAUAUGAUGAAGAUGCGUGGGAGGGAUGUAUUCGGACCACUCACUCGCUGUUCCUCAACAGUAAAUUUAAAGAAAUGCAAUAUAGGAUACUCCACAGACAACACAGAACACCUCAUGUUAUGAACAAAAUUGACCCCAAUAGAUCACCAUUGUGCCUGAAAUGUAAAACGUCAAGUGGGACUUAUAUGCACUGCUUUUGGAACUGUUCGAAAAUCUCGAUGUUCUGGUCUUGUGUAUCUAAGGAAGUGUCAGCAAUAUUCAAACACAGGAUAUGUAAAGAUCCAGGCCAGUUUCUAUUAGGUCUGCCUUCAGGGAAUAGAGUUAUGGAUGCAAAAAGAUCGAAAUUACUCAAUAAACUUUUACUUCUGGCCAGAAAAUGCAUAUUAUUUAAUUGGAUUAGUGAGAAACCCCCCACUGUAACCCAGUGGUACAAAGAAAUUUUCAGAGUCCUUCCUAUGGAAAGACUAAGUGCCAAAUUGAAAGGAAAUAACGACAUUUUUAUGGACAUAUGGCGGCCUCUAAUGGAUUAUCUGCCUAAGGAUCUAAGUGAAAUUAUCGAGAGGGGAAACACUGGCCUAGAAGGUUACAGAAUGAGGUGAAUGGUGGUAAGAAAUCUUUCAUAUCAGGUGCAGGGACAUGUAUGUGUAUAUAUGUAUUUAUUUAUUUAUUUUUCCCUUUUUUUUUUUUUUUUUUUUUACUGAGUUCUGCUUAUUCAUCUGUUUCCACUUGCUCAGACCUUACUGAUGUAUGCAAUGCUGUAUUGUUGUUAUGUUCUAAAAAUUGAAUAAAAUCUGAUUAUUAAAAAAAAAAAAAGAAAGGUAAAUUCACCUCUGCCAAAUCAUGACCAGAGGAAUGGCGUUCUUUGACUGUGGUCUGUUAAAGUUUUCCUGUUUAUGUCAAAAAUGUCAAUCCUCCAUCACAGGUUGUUUUAAGCCCAGAGCUCUAACAGAGACAGAAAUGCCAACUCCCAGUAUGCCAGCAGACAGUAACCGGUCAACCAACAGCCCUAAAAUAAGUCCUGUUUCAGGGUAAGUCUUUCUUUUGAACUUAUUCAUAAUCAAAACAACUAACAACAUUUCAGUCCAAGCACUGUAAUAAUAUUGGUGAUUCAUUGUAAUGUUAUUUAUUUUAGUUUGAAUGUCCAUGUUAGACAAAAUUUUGCCGCUUUUGGCUAAAAUUAAAUUAGUUAAAUUGCCUAACUGAGUAAAUAUUUGGGCCCUGCACCUUGGGCCUUCAUAAAACUCCUGUUUUCCUAUCGUAAUCUAUUUAUGAUAUAAGGUGAGAUUUUGAGGGGAAGGGAAAAUGUACCACCUGGCUACCAACUAUAGACACAAAUACAUUUACAUGUAUCAGACUGUUUUUAUGGGGUCUAAAACAAUCGAAAUCAAGUAAUUAAUGUAGUCUUAUGAACAAGAAGAAAGCUUGGUAAUAGAUGUGAGUGUGCAUGAUUUGUGUUGUGUAUAGUCUAAUCAGGUUGCUUUCAUACUGAUAAGGUGGUUUUGUAACUGUGCUGAUCAUUAGCUGCCUGUGUCAUCAUCAAAAACCCAUUCUCACUGUUGUAUCCUCUGCCAUUUUCUUUGAAAUAAACUGCUUUAGUGUUAAUGUAAAUGGUUCCUCUUCUCUGUUUAUCUCCUUCUCCUCUUGACCAGAUCAUUUCAAGGCAUGCGGUGCUCUUCCAGUGUCGUGUCAAGAGACGUAGUCAUUAAUUUCAAAGACGUCAUCCCAAUCACGAGUAAGCUGCACUGAAAUGUAUCCAUUAUUACCUGGACCAAUCAGAUUAAUCCUGUGCUCUGUGUUAUAAAAUUAUUGCUUUUUAUGGACAGUCAGUUGUUGUUGGACAUGGAAAAAUGUUAAGACUCUGCUUGUAUUUGUGUUUUUAUCUUUCUUCCAGAGUUAAUCCUCAAAGUUCUACAACUUUUUUGACUACAAAACAAGACUCCUUGUCUGCUAAGGAGGAGUAAGCUUCCUGAUCAUUAGCUGCCUGUGUCGUCAUCAAAACACCAUUCUCACUAUUGUAUCCUCUGCCAUUUUCCUUUAAAUAAACUGCUUUAGUUUUUAUGUAAAUGGUU